rnacentral:lncRNA from 1 species
GAAAAUGUAGUCAAUACAGAAAGAUAUUGAAAAUUCCUAAUUACGAGAUUUGCAAAACAUACACAAAAAACUAAAAUACCCCAAACAAAAAUUCAGACCUAAAUGAGAGGAGAAAUACAUGUAUUUGAACACACACUGAAAUACGUGGGAUUGAACACUCAUUGUGUCCUAAAUUGGUCAUAGGUCGAAUGUAAUACCAGUCAAAAUCAUAGUGGUCUCUUCAUGUAGAAAUUAACAACUGGAUCUGAAUUGGUAAGGAAAUGCAGAGGACCGAGGACUGUCCAAACACUUUUGGGAAAGAAGGAAGUUGGAGUAUAUGACCUGAACUCAAGACUUGCUAUGAACACAUCAAUCAGGACAUGAAGAUGCUAGCAUAAACACAGAAAUAUAAAUGUAGCAGUUGUAAAGUACAGGUGGAAUGUACAUAAAUCAGCUGAUGUUCAAUGAAGGCACAAAGGCAACUCAGUGGAAAGAAUAAUCCUAAGUCAGUGUUUCUGUACCAGGUUAGUAUUCAUAAUUUUUAAAAAUUAGAUUACAAUUCUGGACAUAAGUAGAA